rnacentral:rRNA from 1 species
AGAGCGAACGCUGGCGGCAGGCCUAACACAUGCAAGUCGAGCGCCCGUAGCAAUACGGGAGCGGCAGACGGGAUAGUAACACGUGGGAACGCGCCCUUCGGUUCGGAAUAACUCAGGGAAACUUGAGCUAAUACCGGAUACGCCCUUACGGGGAAAGAUUUAUUGCCGAAGGAACGGCCCGCGUCCGAUUAGCUAGUUGGUGAGGUAAUGGCUCACCAAGGCUACGAUCGGUAGCUGGUCUGAGAGGAUGACCAGCAUCACUGGGACUGAGACACGGCCCAGACUCCUACGGGAGGCAGCAGUGGGGAAUAUUGGACAAUGGGCGCAAGCCUGAUCCAGCCAUGCCGCGUGGAUGAUGAAGGCCUUAGGGUUGUAAAGUCCGUUUUAACGGGGAAGAUAAUGACGGUACCCGUAGAAUAAGCCCGGCUAACUUCGCGCCAGCAGCCGC